rnacentral:rRNA from 1 species
GACAUCUGAAAGAGAUUAAAGAUUUAUCGGUGAUGGAUGGGGAUGCGUCUGAUUAGCUUGUUGGCGGGGUAACGGCCCACCAAGGCGACGAUCAGUAGGGGUUCUGAGAGGAAGGUCCCCCACAUUGGAACUGAGACACGGUCCAAACUCCUACGGGAGGCAGCAGUGAGGAAUAUUGGUCAAUGGACGAGAGUCUGAACCAGCCAAGUAGCGUGCAGGAUGACGGCCCUAUGGGUUGUAAACUGCUUUUAUAAGGGAAUAAAGUGGGAGUCGUGACUCUUUUUGCAUGUACCUUAUGAAUAAGGACCGGCUAAUUCCGUG